ACUCUGCCCGUUGUAAUUGUGUAAGC
rnacentral:piRNA from 1 species